AGUAUAACAAUGUGUGUCUUGAGUACCAUUAAGGGAUAAAUGCCUCGAAUGUAUCUAACCGAAACUCAACCUGACCCAAGAAUGAAUCAAACCACCCAGGCCCAAACAUAUUCUUAGGUCAAAAUUUUAUAUAUGCCUAGAUUUCACAUAAUCAACUACUGAUGAAGAUUUUAUCCGAAAUUUUGUUUUUUUCUAUAAAAGUUAUUGUAAUGGUCCAUAAAAUGAAACAUCAUAAGAUUUAUCCAUGCAUGUGGCAUUAUCAUCGUCCAUGCUACGCUGUUCAUACAUAAUUCUGCUCCAUACAAGCUUAUAUAGCUUAAUUAAUCCUUAGCAUGGUUUUAAAUAAUGACUAUUUUAACUUUAUAACGGUUAUUUUAAUGGUUUUAGAGGAGUGCAUUUGUCAUAUGCAUAUAAGUAAUAGAAUAUUUAAGUAAUAAUCAUUAUUUGACCAUUAUUGAUGGAAAUAACUACUGUUCAU
rnacentral:lncRNA from 1 species